rnacentral:rRNA from 1 species
AACGAACGCUGGCGGCAGGCUUAACACAUGCAAGUCGAACGCCCCGCAAGGGGAGUGGCAGACGGGUGAGUAACGCGUGGGGAUCUACCCAGAUCUUCGGAACAACUGAGGGAAACUUCAGCUAAUACCGGAUACGCCCUACGGGGGAAAGAUUUAUCGGUUCUGGAUGAGCCCGCGUUGGAUUAGCUAGUUGGUGAGGUAAAGGCUCACCAAGGCGACGAUCCAUAGCUGGUCUGAGAGGAUGAUCAGCCACACUGGGACUGAGACACGGCCCAGACUCCUACGGGAGGCAGCGGUGGGGAAUAUUGGAGAAUGGGCGAAAGCCUGAUCCAGCCAUGCCGCGUGAGUGAUGAAGGCCUUAGGGUUGUAAAGCUCUUUCAGUGGGGAAGAUAAUGACGGUACCCACAGAAGAAGCCCCGGCUAACUUCGUGCCAGCCGCCGCGGUAA